CUACCCACAAUGAGGACAGCAACAGACUGGUAGACAAGAACUGGAAAAGACCUAUAUGGAGCUGCUCAGCCUUGGAGGUUCAUGGCUAUUGGAAUCUGCAAUACAAACCCAGGAAACAGACCUCACAUCAAGGAUAAUCAAAGCAUUUCUUAGUGAUCUCUGUGACACCAGGAGGUGGUGAGCUGAGAAAGACUCAGGAAUCCGAAUAAUACUGAAAAUUACCUGAGAUUCCAUGCCAGUAAAG
rnacentral:lncRNA from 1 species